UUUGUAAAGACAAGUGUUUACUGUAGUUGUAUGUAACCUUUGGACUAUUAUUUUUAUCUUCAUUAAUUGAAUUCAAUUGUUUUCCUUAACUUAUUUUACUCCUUCAGGUCGAUGAUAAAUAUUUCCAUUAAAAUCAGUGUUAAUUUUCAUAGCUGAUUAACAAUAUUUCAAUCAGAAGAUUGGUCCAUCUUUGGUAAUUACCAGUCUCUUUCUUCACAGCUGUGUUACAUGAUUUUUCAAAAGUUUUUCGAUAUCGAAUGGUUUACUCUGAAGCAAGGACCAGAAUUAAGUUGCAUACACUUUAUUUCAAACCUGAUAUUCAGCUGAUGUCAAUGAUCUCCCAAUGUCUUCAUGUCCAAGAAUCGUUUCAGAUGGAAGACUGAGUGAUGUGUUUGCUGUAGGAAAAUUCAUCAACUUUGUUCGCAAAAAAAGGCCAAAGCUUUGAAAGAAAAGGGAAUAAUAUUAGGUAGAUAAAGUGGGAGAAAAUGAAUAGGAAGAAACAAAAAAGAAUUGAGUAGCCUUUAUUUUUGCCUUCUCUUGUUCAUCUCGUCUAAUUUGGCACUGUCUAUCUGUCUGUCUAUCAAUCGGAAACCUACUAAUGUCCUACUAUGCCCAAGCUCGAGGAAUUAAGGUAGACUAUGAAAAGAUUCUCAAGAGAUUGAAAGGGGAUAGAGAAGUUUAUUGUCAAGUCUUUUUUAUUUCAGAAAUAUUUUUCCUUUUCAAUGAAUAUCAAAAUGCUUAGCAGAUUUGAAAUCUUGAUGAAACUGGCGAGAUAAUAUUUAUUGCUGCCCACUAUUAAAUCGGAUUGGACACAGUUAACAUAAUUUCGUAUUAUGGCCGUAAAAAUUUCAUUCUAAUCAUUUAUUCAUGUGGUAUAAAUUUGCUAUUAGCUAAUCAUUUGUAUAUCAUUGUGCUAUCUCCAUAUUUUUUGCAUACUUUAGGUCAAGAGUAACAGAACUUGCAAAUUCUGAUCAUUUUUGUCCAUGGGAUCUUCAUACAAGGAUAAGGAAUAUGACAAAGUACAUUUACGAGGUCGAAUCCAACCUGAGUAGUGAUGAAUCGUUUCAAAACUUACGCAGCUUUUGAACGUUAUUUUCAAUAAUUAACUUUAAAAUAGGUCAUAAUUAUGGCCGGUGAAUGGAUGGUGAAGGAACAUUCAAGCAAAGUAAAUUUGCUUGCACGUGAAUAAGAAUCACAAUUAAGUGCGUUAUUCCAUUCUAUUCCUCUAUCAUCAUUUACCUCAAUUAUUUCCUUUUUUAUUAAUCUCGUCAUCAUAGUCAUUUACAAAGUAUAUUAAGUUUCUUACAUUUAAAAUUAUUUUGUUUGUAAAUUGUAUCUCAUUCAUGACAAUUACUUAAAAAUUUAUACCACUUAAUGAGAGCUGACUAAUUGCAGUUAAACUGUUUCAGAAAUCCUCCAACAACACAUAGAUGAACCUGGAAAUGGAUGAUUAGCCAUGAAGUUUUAGGAUCAAAGGAACGCAAAAACUGAAGUGAAAAAAAGAUGAUUAGACUCGUGUUCUGGGCAUAACAAAUUUGAUAAUUUUUUCUAUUCACCUCUAGAAAAUUUGCUGUUGACAAGGAAUUGACGAUGAUAACUCGGAAGGUGGUCAGUUUGAUUUGACUGCCGAUGAAAGAUGAACAAUAAAAGAAAGAAGAAACAAAUCAAAUGAUUAGAUUCUCUCUUGGGCCACUUCCUUAACUUUUCCAUCAAAGAUGAUUUAACCUUGCUGACUUUAUCUUCUGUGUUUGUAGGACUGACAUUGGAUAAGAUCGUGAUCAAGGCGUCCCAGGAUAUCAAAAUAGACUAAAUUACUAGUUAUUAUUAUUAUUCACCAUUAUUACAUUGGAUACAAAUUUGAUGGAAACAAUGAGCUUGAAUCAGCUUAACAAGAAGCAAUCUAUUGGCCAUCAUUAUCAUCAUAAUCAAUGGAAACAACAAUAAAUGGUUGUCUUUAAAGCAUGGACUGGAUUUCGUUAGUUGGUCAGCUUUAAAAUUGAAUCACAUGGAAUGGCGUUUGAAGAAAAGAAUCGUUGAAAAGCAGAAAAAAACAGCAAAAGCAAAGAGCGACGAAGAAGCUGAAAAUGAUGAAAAAGAUGGUUAAAAAAGAGGAAAAGAAACAAUUUUAAGAAAAUAAAGAUUUAAAGACAGAGAUGGAUUGAUGAAAUGAAAAUGGGUUGAAAACAAUUGAAGUGGAGCAGAAUUGAGCGCACGAUCGAGUUCGAAAGAAAUGCAAUUUCCGGUACACUUUUGAACUAAAGAAGGAUGAUGAUGAUGAGGAAAAAGAUGGAUAGCCAGAGAGACAGACAGACAUUGGAAGAAAGACUAAAUGGUUAAAGAUGAACAAGAGAAGAAAUAAGAAGAUACAAAAUAUGAUGUUGAAGAUAAAUGGAUGAAAAUGAUGAAGAUGAAGGAAGGAAGAAGCCUCACUUGGAGAGGGAGUGAGGAAGGUUUUAUAAUCAAGGCAAAACCGGCUUAAAAAAAUCAUUGAAUAGUUACAAUAACUCCAAAUUUACUCCCAGCAGGUUUAGAGAGAAAGGGAAAGAUGAAGAGAAGUGCAAAAAACUGUGUAACAUCAAUUGGAGUAAACUGCAUUCAUCAGAUUGCUUGUUACAUGAAAUAAGAGAUACAUGUGUAUGAAGAUUAGAUUAAAUGAAUCAAGCUGGGAACAAAUGAAUGUCAACAACAUUUUAUUUCAUCAUCACAAUCAUCUUUUUUCUUCCUUGACGCUAACAGCAAUUAAGGUGUAACUCUUAUCAUUUUUUUGUUCACCUUGCUACUCUUCAACCUAAUGAAAGUCACAUCAAUACCAUCAACCUGGCAAGUUGUAUCAACAUUUCCUGGUGUUUUGGACCCAUCAACAGAUCACACAGUUGAUGUUUUCAGUUGAACACGUUAACGUUUAACUGUUGAUCGUUAAUCUCUCUUAUAAUCUGAUGAUUUUGAAAAGAUAGGAUCAUGCUAAGAGGAUAAAUGUUUGACAAAAUCAAGUUUAAUGAUGAUAUGAUAAUCAAAAUAGGGCUUAGCAUUAGUGCAAUAAUUUUACUUGUGUAAAUUGUUGACCAAAAUAUCAUACAGUUAAUGUUGAAAGGUACAAAUGAAGCGUUUCUUGACCACGUAAAUGAUGAUGAUAAUGACGAUGAUGACAAGAAAGAUGGAAACAAAAAGUACAAGUAAGGAAAGCGAUAUCCAGAUGAAGAGAUAGAAAAGCCUUGAAGAUGAUGAAGGAAGGAAACAAGUAUAAUGAUGGGCGCCAAAGACGAUGUAUUAACUUGUAAAGCCAACACGAUGUUAUCACGAGAGGACGAAAAAGAAGACAGAGAAGAAGACGAAGAUAGAGUGAGAAGAUUGAAAAUAGAGCAAGACAAGAUGAUAACAAGAAAAACUCACAAAUGAUACUUACUCACACACAGAGAUCUAUGAUGAUUUGAAUGAGGCUAUCUUAUUUUGGGAUCUUUAGACAUCAUUGACUUUUUGACUGGUGAAGAGCAUAAAUGGCUGAUAAAAACUGAUACAAUGGCUAACUGAUGAGACAACAAGGGUUAAACGAGUGAACCUGAUUUUUGUUCAAGUCAACUUAGCCACGGGUACCAUUACUAUGCGUACUAAUAUACUGCCAAUUUGAUCUACUAUUACUAUCUUCAUCUUGUUUUGCCCUUUUUUACUCACCUUCACCUUCAUCAUCGUUGUCUUUUUUUUAAUGAUAUCUAACCAAGAAGGCUUGGUCAAUUGGGUAAAUUCAUCAUGUUGAGGAGGAUAUGUGCACACACACACACACUUACAUUCAUCCUCCGUGUAUUUUUCUAGCUUAAAGGGAAGACAAGAGUGAAAAGAUGAUGAUGAUGAAGAUGAAGUAAAACAAGCAAAUGUAUAGGUAAGAAAAAUGUCUUAUGAGGCGAAACUCACUGUGAAAAAUAACUUUUUUUUGUGAGCCACUGAGGCCUCUUUAAGAUGUUGCUGUUUUUGUUGUUGUUGAUGAUGGUGAUGAUGAAGAUUUGGUUGAAGGUAGCAAGAAACAUGAAGUUGAAGGAAGAGAAAAAUAAAAAGAAAUAGAAGGAAGAGGGAAAAAUAAGAUAAGAGAGAAACUAAAAGAUUCAUAGUGGUAAGGAGGAAAGGCCAAAAGGAGGGAGUCAAGAUGAUGAUGGUGAAGAAGAAGCAGGAGAUGAAGAUAAAGAUGAAAAUGAUGAAGCAUAGAAAAGAAAGGUCAUUUAUCAGCUGAGAGUUUUCUUAGUGUACAAGUAAAGCUGUAUCGUUGUUCAGCUUGUGACUGAAGCUAAAUACAAGAUCACGAUUUUUUUUCAACCUUUUUGGUGGAGCUCAGUUCGUUUAAACUUGAACUAUUUUUCAAAUCAACGAGAAGAAGAUGAAGUAAAAUAGGAACAACAGCUCAAUGAUAUAAGCCUGAGGAUGUCAUGAGAAGAAGAUGAAGGAAAAAAAAGUUGAAAAUGAGAAACUCAAGUCUGUGGAUUCAUUUUACUUUACAACUGGUCAAAAAAGAAGUAAGAAAAACUAAUGAAAAAAGAUGAAAAUUUAUAGCUGGUCCAAUUUGAUAUUUUUGUUUUUUUUGGGAUUCUGUGUGAUGUAUUAGAAGACACCAAAUCUUUCCUUUCAUCAUCAUCAUUCAACUUGUUUCAUUUAUUCCUUUAUUACAGCUUGAUUCUUCACCAUUUAUCAGUAACUCUUUUUAGUAUCAUUAGUAUAUUAAAGGUCAACAAUCACAAGUUUCAACUUCAAUUGUAUCUACAUUUUAUAAUUUUACGCAACUCUCCAAUGGAUUAAUUUGCUAAAAAGAACCGAUUUUCCCAAAUCUGA